AUUGAACGCUGGCGGCAUGCCUUACACAUGCAAGUCGAACGGCAGCAUAGGAGCUUGCUCCUGAUGGCGAGUGGCGAACGGGUGAGUAAUAUAUCGGAACGUGCCCUAGAGUGGGGGAUAACUAGUCGAAAGACUAGCUAAUACCGCAUACGAUCUACGGAUGAAAGUGGGGGAUCGCAAGACCUCAUGCUCCUGGAGCGGCCGAUAUCUGAUUAGCUAGUUGGUGGGGUAAAAGCCUACCAAGGCAACGAUCAGUAGCUGGUCUGAGAGGACGACCAGCCACACUGGGACUGAGACACGGCCCAGACUCCUACGGGAGGCAGCAGUGGGGAAUUUUGGACAAUGGGGGCAACCCUGAUCCAGCAAUGCCGCGUGAGUGAAGAAGGCCUUCGGGUUGUAAAGCUCUUUUGUCAGGGAAGAAACGGUAGUAGCGAAUAACUAUUACUAAUGACGGUACCUGAAGAAUAAGCACCGGCUAACUACGUGCCAGCCGCCGCCGUAACAC
rnacentral:rRNA from 1 species